rnacentral:misc_RNA from 1 species
CACAGAUUAUGCAACUUCAGAAAUCAGAAAGCCUGAGAAUGAAAAAAUACACGAAACCCAUGAACCAAAUAACUUGAAAUCAAAAGAGUUAGUCACAACUCUUGCCUUGUAGCUGCCGUAUUAGAAAUAACGAUUUCGCAUCUCAGUGACUUAAUUUUGUUCAGUGGAGAAACAUCAAGCAAUAGCUAGAAGAUAAAUAGACUUACAAGGCAUAAAGCGGAAAUCAAG